GCAUUAAUGGGGUAGUGGUAACCUGGGUCGUUGCCAUUGACUUGAGGCUGAUACUCUGUUCGACCCGCCGGGGGUUCGAUUCCCCCUUAAUGCA
rnacentral:tRNA from 1 species